rnacentral:rRNA from 1 species
UCGCCUGUUUAACAAAAACAUGUCUUUUUGAAAUUUUUUUAAAAGUCUAACCUGCCCACUGAAUAAUUUAAAUGGCCGCAGUAUACUAACUGUGCAAAGGUAGCAUAAUCAUUAGUCUUUUAAUUGAAGGCUGGUAUGAAUGGUUGGACGAGAUAUUAACUGUUUCAUAAAAAUUUAUAAUAGAAUUUUAUUUUUUAGUCAAAAAGCUAAAAUAAAAUUAAAAGACGAGAAGACCCUAUAAAUCUUUAUAUAUAAGUUAUUAGAAUUUUGUAGAUUUUUUUUAUUAUAAUAAUUAACUGUAUUUUAUUGGGGUGAUAUUAAAAUUUAAUUAACUUUUAAUUUUUAAAAUCAUUAAUUUAUGAAUAAUUGAUCCGUUAAUAACGAUUAAAAAAAUAAGUUACUUUAGGGAUAACAGCGUAAUUUUUUUGGAGAGUUCAUAUCGAUAAAAAAGAUUGCGACCUCGAUGUUGGAUUAAGAUAUAAUUUUAGGUGCAGUCGCUUAAAUUUUAAGUCUGUUCGACUUUUAAAAUCUUACGUGAUCUGUUCCCAAACCGGA